rnacentral:misc_RNA from 1 species
GAUGAAAACGCAGCGAAAUGCGAUAAGUAAUGUGAAUUGCAGAAUUCAGUGAAUCAUCGAAUCUUUGAACGCACAUUGCGCCCGCCAGUAUUCUGGCGGGCAUGCCUGUUCGAGCGUCAUUACAACCCUCAGGCCCCCGGGCCUGGCGUUGGGGAUCGGCGGAAGCCCCCUGCGGGCACAACGCCGUCCCCCAAAUACAGUGGCGGUCCCGCCGCAGCUUCCAUUGCGUAGUAGCUAACACCUCGCAACUGGAGAGCGGCGCGGCCACGCCGUAAAACACCCAACUUCUGAAUGUUGACCUCGAAUCAGGUAGGAAUACCCGCUGAACUUAAGCAUAUCAAUAAGCGGAGGA